rnacentral:rRNA from 1 species
CGAAGGGGGGACGGAGAAGGCUAUGUCAGCCGGGCGACGGUUGUCCCGGUUUAAGCAUGUAGGCGGAGGUUCCAGGUAAAUCCGGUACCUUUUAACGCUGAGGUGUGAUGACGAGGCACUACGGUGCUGAAGUGAUAAAUGCCCUGCUUCCAGGAAAAGCCUCUAAGCAUCAGGUAACACGAAAUCGUACCCCAAACCGACACAGGUGGUCAGGUAGAGAAUACCAAGGCGCUUGAGAGAACUCGGGUGAAGGAACUAGGCAAAAUGGUGCCGUAACUUCGGGAGAAGGCACGCUGAUGUGUAGGUGAAGCCCCUGCGGGUGGAGCUGAAAUCAGUCGAAGAUACCAGCUGGCUGCAACUGUUUAUUAAAAACACAGCACUGUGCAAACACGAAAGUGGACGUAUACGGUGU